rnacentral:lncRNA from 13 species
AUGCAGGAUAUGAUGGCAGAGAAGGAUUUCCAGCUGGCUGAGUAUGAGUUUAAAGCCAAGGAGCAGGAAGCCGCCAUCCUGAAACUCAACCGCAAAAUACAUGAGAAAGAUAGUGAGAAGAAAAAAGCUGUUCAGUCAAGCGAUGGAGUGACAGACACGAUAGGCCAGCUUCAGGCAUGUCUGGGGGAGAAGGAGAAAGAACUGCUGACUCUCAACAAUCUGCUGUUUAGCCAUGAGGAUACAAUCCAUACUCUUGAGAAUGAACUGGCCAAUGAGAAGAUCAAAUAUGACUCAAAGACCAAGGUAACGCACAGGCCUUUUCUCUACAGGUCCUCUUUACUCCAAUUCUGGUGUUAUAUUAUCC